rnacentral:rRNA from 1 species
GAUGAACGCUGGCGGCGUGCCUAAUACAUGCAAGUCGAGCGAACGGACGAGAAGCUUGCUUCUCUGAUGUUAGCGGCGGACGGGUGAGUAACACGUGGAUAACCUACCUAUAAGACUGGGAUAACUUCGGGAAACCGGAGCUAAUACCGGAUAAUAUUUUGAACCGCAUAGUUCAAAAGUGAAAGACGGUCUUGCUGUCACUUAUAGAUGGAUCCGCGCUGCAUUAGCUAGUUGGUAAGGUAACGGCUUACCAAGGCAAUGAUGCAUAGCCGACCUGAGAGGGUGAUCGGCCACACUGGAACUGAGACACGGUCCAGACUCCUACGGGAGGCAGCAGUAGGGAAUCUUCCGCAAUGGGCGAAAGCCUGACGGAGCAACGCCGCGUGAGUGAUGAAGGUCUUCGGAUCGUAAAACUCUGUUAUUAGGGAAGAACAUAUGUGUAAGUAACUGUGCACAUCUUGACGGUACCUAAUCAGAAAGCCACGGCUAACUACGUG